rnacentral:rRNA from 1 species
GAUGAACGCUGGCGGCGUGCCUAAUACAUGCAAGUAGAACGCUGAAGGAAGGAGCUUGCUCUUUCCGGAUGAGUUGCGAACGGGUGAGUAACGCGUAGGUAACCUGCCUGGUAGCGGGGGAUAACUAUUGGAAACGAUAGCUAAUACCGCAUAACAGUAGAUGUUGCAUGAUAUCUACUUAAAAGGUGCAAUUGCACCACUACCAGAUGGACCUGCGUUGUAUUAGCUAGUUGGUGAGGUAACGGCUCACCAAGGCGACGAUACAUAGCCGACCUGAGAGGGUGAUCGGCCACACUGGGACUGAGACACGGCCCAGACUCCUACGGGAGGCAGCAGUAGGGAAUCUUCGGCAAUGGACGGAAGUCUGGCCGAGCAACGCCGCGUGAGUGAAGAAGGUUUUCGGAUCGUAAAGCUCUGUUGUAAGAGAAGAACGAGUGUGAGAGUGGAAAGUUCACACUGUGACGGUAUCUUACCAGAAAGGGACGGCUGACUACGUG